rnacentral:sRNA from 1 species
AAAAAAAAUUAUAAAUUUUUUUUUCAAAGAAAAAUCAUAAAAAGUCAAAAAAAUAAAUGGGUGUAACAGAAUAAAAAAAUCUAUAUAUGAAACAAAAUCUAUAUAAAAAAGUUAAUAAUCAUAUCUUGUGGAAACAAAAACCCUAAAAACACUAAGAGGAAUACUAUUUUGCAAUAUACCUUAUAUGCUGUUUUAAGUGAAGUGAAUGGGAAUAACUUUAAUCAGCGCCUACAGGAAUAUACACUCAAUAUAAAAACUUAUGGUAACCAUUCGCCACAAUUAAACACAUAACAAUUUUGAGUAAACAAAAAUUUCAAUUUGAAUAAUUAAAGAAAAAAUAUUUCUAAACAACGUCACAGCGAACAACAACAAAGCAAAGAAAAAUUGUUUUAAAUUUACAACAACAAAACCUAGGUCAAUAUUGUUUAGAGUGACACAAGUUAGUGACGACGGGCCGACAAUACGGAACACAAAGCAAAGCUAAACAUACAAACAAACAUACAUACUGACUCAUAUAUAUACUAGAGAUGUGAAGAAAGCUCGCCAAUGGCAACAAGGGAAAAUCACACAAACACUUGAAACCAAAAAAAAAAAAACAACAACAACAAAAAACACAAAGCAAAAACCAACGUCGUCAUAAUAUAUGAAACAAGGCAGAGUAACAGCAAUUGUACCAGUGCUAUAUAUCUAAUAAGAACUCAAUCAAGCUAAACGCGAUCUCCCAAAAAAGAAAACACACACAUAGACAACCACCAAAUAAAUCCAAAGCCGAAUUAAACAUCGUAUUAGCUGGCAAAAGCCAAAAAAAAAACAAAAUAAUUUGAAAUAUUUCAACAAAAUAAAAAUCAAAUAUAAAUAAAAUAACCACACCACAAGUUAAGAGAGGCAACCUCAACGCAAGGGGUCCUCUUGUCCGUCCAACGUAAAGCCAACAAAUUAAUCACAAUUGAAAGCCAACAAAGUAUAACAUUGUGCUCUUGUAUUGGCAACCCCAUAAGCACCCAUACAUUAACAUCACGUGUAGCUUAAAUUGUAGCAAGUGCAAGUGCUGCCCACUGCUCACCAACCCCUUUGGUGCUAAGAGCUUCAAACCUUCAAAAAAAAAAAAAAAAAA